CCCGCCCCCGCGUUCACCUCACCUUGCAGCUUCUCAAACCUUAACUCCUUCGGCCUCAGGGUCACAAAAGGGGCAGCGGCCUCCCUUCCAGGUCAUCAGGGUGUUCGCCUUCGAAACCGGCCUAGGCCCAGGGAAUGCCCAGACGGCCUCGGAGGAGCCUGGGUGAGGCCAGUGUGUUCUUUGUGUUCCUGAAAUCACUCUCUGGCUGACAAGCACACCUGGCUGUUCCUAAGCCCUAAAACCGCCAGCAGUCAGGAGCAGGGCCACUUCCACCCCACAGUGGGGAAGCACGCCCUCUCCUGGGCGCGUUAGGAACUAUUUCUGACCACUUGAAUUUCAAGGGGGCCUUGAGGGGGUGUGUGCGUGUGCGCGUUGGGGCAAAGUACGUCUCCCACGGCUUUGCAGGUACGCUGAGUGCACUGGCACAUCUCUGUCCCCCACCCUCAGCACAGGCGCGCGCGCGCACACGCACAUCCUCACACUCACGGUGUCACGCGAGGGUACAGCUUAGGGGAAGCAUUGGCUGGCAACAACCGUCCAGGUUCCUCCAAGAGAAGUAACGGGAUGGUCUGUGACAGCCCAGUGCCGAGCCCCGCGGGAGCCAGACGCUCCCAGGACCCAACCUGGGUGCCCUCGGCCCCGCCUCCGCUGGACCCCGGGGCAGAGGCAGCUGGGCCCCACGCUUUCCCCAUCCCCAUCCCGCCCGACAGCAGAUCCUAAGUGGAGGCCCAGGCCUCCGGGUCACAGGUCUGGGGGACACCGAGGCCUCGCCUGUGACCUUAUCCUGGGGCCAGGCUACCAGCCAGCUGCGCGAACAAGCUCUUGCGGCAGGGGGCAGGGCGAAGCACGCUGUGCCCAAGGCUGAGCGCCACCCUGGCAGGGGCCUCACUCCUCAGGUCUCUCCUGUGGCCCUCAGGGGACAAGGACGCUCUUUCCACUCAGCCAGGGAGUGCCCUGGCUGCUCUGCCUCUCCCCACAGGACCCCUUAACCUAGGGGCUCUCACACCUACAGGUGGCCAGGAACCCAGUGGGCCUCAGAACGUGCAUUUGUACCGGGUUCCCAAGGCCACAGAGGCUGACUGGCGGGAUCCCGGCUGAACUCCAGAGGGGAGGGCCUCUGCCCCCGGAACUCCGGGAUGGAAGCAGCAUUUUGGAGGCUGAUUCCCAAGGAGGUAGGUCAUCGGCUGGCUGUGCCUGGUCCCAAUGGAAACGGACUUGGGGUUUGGCUCCGGGCUGGUCUCGGUUCAAGUCUUGAGCAAGGCCUGGGUGAGCCUGGUUCUGUGCGGUCCUGGCGCCUUCCAGACCGGCUUCGUCGUCUGGGCGAGCGGGAGGCUGGGUGUUGUUCGCUCUCUGGCCACCAGGGGGCGGUGAGAAGCAUUUUCCUGUCUUCCGGCGGGUCUUGGGGCCCCGUCGCUGUAACAGGGAGAACACUUCCGCUCCCCUUCUUACCCGCUGUGUGGCUUUGGGCAGGUUACUAACCUUUCUGAGCUCAGUUUCUGACUCAGCCUGGCUGCGCUGGGGCCAAACCCUCACAUUUCUAACAAGCGCCCAGAUAUUCGCCGCUGUGGGCGCCCGGGACAGUGCGGGGGUGACAAGGCCCCCGGCUCGCUCGAAGGGGGAAGAAGGACGACGCCGGGCACCCACCGCGGGCCUCGGAACAAGCGCCCGAACUUCUCCCGCCCCGGGCUUCAUCCACGCCUUCGCUGGCUUGUUUCCUCCGCACUGCACUCUGGAAGAAAACCCCAGCAGAGGCCAAACUCAAGGACAGUGUGCAACUUACAUGGUUCAACUUACAACUUUUCAACUUUAAAAAGUUUAGGAUGGGCUGACUGGGUCAGACCCUCAUCGUAAGCCAAGGAGCACCUGUGGUUGCAAGAUGGCUGCUUCCCAGGGAAGAAGUGGCUGUAAGGCCUGCGAGUGCCCCGCGGAGAGAGGUGACAGGCUUCUGGCAGGCUGCCAUGGAACAGCAUGACAUAUUAGCCGGCACUGUGAGUCCCAGCAAAGAAAGUCACCCUCCACCUGGCUGUCCAUUGUGGUAAGAUGUCCAUCUCAUCCUUUAUAGCUAUGUGCUCCCACCUGGCACUACAAUUCUGGGACUUCUAUUAUCUCCACUAGCCACAGGAGCCCAGCUCCUUAGCACCCUCCCCCACCUUCGACUCUGGGCUACCAGGAUGGUCAUUGUAAAGUCCUCAGAAAGCCUCCUCCCAAAUGCAUUCUUUCUUGCCUUAGUGAAGGCAGUGUCCUGGGAAGGUUUAAGGAACUAGUUAGUGGGUUCUAGAACCCUACAGAAUAAACCCUUUUAAUAUUUCAGAUCAAGUCUUCUGCAGUUUUUCAGCCCAAUGCAAAAACUCUGGCUCCUCUACCUUGCUUGUGGCCAUUGUUAAGACCAGGAUUCAAACUACCAUCUUGGCCAACAUUUAGAACGAGCCCUGGGCAUUCUUGCUAACACAUUAAACCCUGAAUUCUGCAUGAGUACUCCCUAAUCAGUGAGUCCUCCCAGCUGAGCUUUCUGCCCCACUGCACUCCCUGCUCACUAUGUAACAUCCUCAGGGGCCCUCCCACACCUGUCCACAGCUCCUGCCUGCGCUCACUAGCCAAGGCCCCCAUACCUUUGGCACGUGUGUCUUUCCUCUCUGCAGCAGGACUUUUGCUCCCCUAUAUAGGCUGUGCCGCAACCCGACUCUGGGCAAUGAUAGAGGGGAUCAGUGGGCAGGCCAGGUCAUAAGGAGAGGAAGUCAUGAAUAAAGGGGUCUGGGUAGAGCAGGAGAGUUCAGGGGUUUUGAAGGCAAGAUGUUCAUCCACCAAGACAUUCCAGUCCCAGCUGGAAGGGUCCCACGCCUUCCCUACCCCUAGGGCUCUGACUGUGACAUGGUAGCUUGUGAGGGCCAUGCACUUAGUCUCCUUUGCUGUCCCACCCCACUGUGAUCAGAGCUUGGGUUUGAUUUUAAGAGUUUACCCUAUGACUGCAGGAAAGAAUGCUCUCCUUUAAACUUGCCCUACAGCCUCUCUGGCUUUCAGAGCAUUUCGGGAGUUGAUAAUUAACUGCUCUGAGCCUGUCAUUUUGUGUUUCCCAGGUAUCUCACACCUUCUCCAUUUUUUCAACACGGUGAAGAAAUGUAUAUUUAGAAUUAUCCAGCUGGAUUCCAUUUAUAUGGUCCUAAUUUUGUUAGCAAUAUUCAAAGCAUGACAGUCAGGAGCCCGUGGACCAUAGGCUCCCUCUCUCCACCAGGCCUGAUCAGGGCAUGGACUUGACCACCUGCAUGUCACAGUGCUUCUUCACAGCCUGCUUGUUCUGGUGCUUGUCAGCCUUGACACCUACGGUGACCGCCAAGUGUGUUCUUGUCUUCGGUCUUCAUCGGGGCCAACUCUGUGGUCAGGGGACCUGGAUGAAGGCAUAGUGGCCACCUGUGUCUCUCCUGAGGGUGCCAGGAUGUGUGGGCUGCUCAGAGCCUCAGUGUCUUGGGCUGCCAGGAGUAGGGUCUUCUUUUGUGUGUGUGGCUGUAGAUACUGUUCAGGCCUGCCUUUGUGGCCUUCAAAGCCUCUGCCUUGGUUUAGGAUUUGGGAGGGACGGGAGCUUCCUUCUUCACUUUCAGCACCACCUAGGUAAAAAAGUUCCCUAGUACCAUAUAAUUAUCGUUUCCAAACUGAAAAAACACAAUGACUAAUUAAUGUCCUAAUGUCUUGCUCGCUACCCAAUUCAACCCAACUGAACCUUACUGAAAGCUGGGGUGCUGUUGCAUAUCAGGGUUAUUACCAUCCCACUUGCUAUUAGCAAAGGAGUUUCUACUGAUCUUAUGUAGAUGGGCAAUACAACCCCAAAACCCAUCUUGAGGAUUUGCUUUCUAGAGGUACUUGUGGAACCAGUUGUCUUAGCUGAAUUUUCCUAAAAACAGAAUCUGAAACAGAGACUAAGUGCUGGUUGGGAGAGACAGCAAGAAUAAGUAACAAGGGAAAUGAGUUUGGAUAGGAUGAGAAGCAAUGCAAGGUGGUGUGUUAGGCAGCCAACUACUUCAUCCCCAACUGCAAAGAGGCCGGUAGGCCGCUCAGUAGGCAUGUGCUCGGCCAUGCAGGCUAUCUCCAGACCACCAUAUUGGAAAACUCUCAAUUGGAACAAUACAUUGGAGGGAAGAGGAAAUGAUUCUCCACCCAGUUCCCUGCCAUUUCCUGCUUCUCAUCUGUCAAAAUACUCUCCAUGGGGGCGAUUUCCCUAGAUUGUGUCACUGAGCCCCUUUGAUGGCUGCUGGGAAGCCAGAGCCCACCUCCUGGGGUGUGGUAUUUCAUCUGGCCCCAGUGGUGGUGGAGAAUCAGAAGCAUGUGGCUGGCCAGCCUGGCUCUGGAGCCACAGCCUGGAGGGACAGCCCAAUACUUCUGGGUCCCAGGUAGCUGGUUAGUUACACAGAUGAGGAUGGCCACGGAGAUAGAUGUUGGUUCCAGGAGAAAGGUGAGGUCUAAAGAAUGUGAGGUGGAUAUGAGAUGUGUCCAACACAUCUAUUAAUAUGUUACUAAUUCGGUGCAUGUCUUCAUUUAUAUGGAAAACUUCAAACACUCACGAAAAUUGAAAAAAUAACCUAAUGACUUGCCUGUUCCCAUCUUUCAGCCCAAUAAUUACGCUAAAUUUUCUUACAUCAACCUUGUAAAGCAAAUCGUAAACAUUGCAUCAUUUCACCCAUACUUUGUUAUCUGUCUCUGAUAAGACAUGGGUAUGACCACCAUAUCGCUAUCAAGCCUGACAAAAUGACAACUCAUUAAUAUUACAUAAUGUCUAGCUCUAUAUUCAGAUUGCCUUAAUUGUCUCCAACAGGCUUUUUUUGUUUUCUGCUUUAUAGUUGUUUAUUUUAAAGAGACUCAAAGCAAGAUAAACAUAUUGCCUUUAGUUGCUAAAUAUCUUGUCUUUCUAAUUCUACCGGUUCUUUCCUACUCUACCUUAUUCUACUUUUAUUGCCAUUAAUUUGCCAUUGGUUUGUUAGAGGCAGGAUAUCAUUUGUCCUACAUUCUGGAUUUUACUAAUUGCUUCCUUGUGGUGUCAAUUAACUUUUUUUAAAUUUUUUUAAACUCUUUGUCAUUUCUAAGACUUGCUCUGUCAACACACAGAUUUAACAGUCAGGCUCAAUUUUUUGAAGCAAGCGUACUUCCUGGAUACAGCUGCAGAUUUACCACAGCAUGGCACCAUAAGAAACGUAGCAGUGGGCCGGGGAUUUAGCUCAGAGGUUUCACCACCUGCGGCGCAAGUGCAAGGACCCAAGUUUGAUCCCUGGUACCAAAAAAAAAAAAAAAGAACAAGUCAAGAAUCAUAGCAGUGAUGUUAAGACUGAUGAACUCACAUGGCAAUAAUUUUUCUAUACAGUGGGAAGCAGGAGUCUAGUUUCAACUUCAUUAAGAUGUGUAUAAUAGGGCCGGGGAUUUAGCUCAGUGGUUCCAGUGCCUGCCUUGCAAUGAUGAGGUCCUGAGUUUGAUCCCCGGUAACAACAACAACAAAAAAGAUGUGUACAAUAGCUCUUGUACAUUGCUAGGUUCAACUUGCGGAUAUUUUGUUUAGGAUAUUUUCCUUUAUAUUCAAAAUAGAGAUUGCUACUAAAUUUCCUUUCAUACUUUUCUCUUUUUUUUUGGUACCGGGGAUCAAACUCAGGUCCUUGCACUUGCCAGGCAGGCAGUGGAAACACUGAGCUAAAUCCCCGGCCCCUUUCAUACUUUUCUUGUCUUAUUUGCAUACCAAAAUUUUACCAGUUUGUAUACCACUGUUUUUCUUUUUCUAUUUUCUCAAAUAUUUUGUAUAAGAUUUGUUUCUUCAAUGUUUGA